AUUGAACGCUGGCGGCAGGCCUAACACAUGCAAGUCGAGCGGUAGCACAGAGAGCUUGCUCUCGGGUGACGAGCGGCGGACGGGUGAGUAAUGUCUGGGAAACUGCCUGAUGGAGGGGGAUAACUACUGGAAACGGUAGCUAAUACCGCAUAACGUCGCAAGACCAAAGUGGGGGACCUUCGGGCCUCAUGCCAUCAGAUGUGCCCAGAUGGGAUUAGCUAGUAGGUGGGGUAAUGGCUCACCUAGGCGACGAUCCCUAGCUGGUCUGAGAGGAUGACCAGCCACACUGGAACUGAGACACGGUCCAGACUCCUACGGGAGGCAGCAGUGGGGAAUAUUGCACAAUGGGCGCAAGCCUGAUGCAGCCAUGCCGCGUGUGUGAAGAAGGCCUUCGGGUUGUAAAGCACUUUCAGCGGGGAGGAAGGCGGUGAGGUUAAUAACCUCAUCGAUUGACGUUACCCGCAGAAGAAGCACCGGCUAACUCCGUGCCCAGCAGCCGCGGUAAUACGGAAGGUGCAAGCGUUAAUCGGAAUUACUGGGCGUAAAGCGCACGCAGGCGGUCUGUCAAGUCGGAUGUGAAAUCCCCGGGCUCAACCUGGGAACUGCAUUCGAAACUGGCAGGCUAGAGUCUUGUAGAGGGGGGUAGAAUUCCAGGUGUAGCGGUGAAAUGCGUAGAGAUCUGGAGGAAUACCGGUGGCGAAGGCGGCCCCCUGGACAAAGACUGACGCUCAGGUGCGAAAGCGUGGGGAGCAAACAGGAUUAGACACCCUGGUAGUCCACGCCGUAAACGAUGUCGAUUUGGAGGUUGUGCCCUUGAGGCGUGGCUUCCGGAGCUAACGCGUUAAAUCGACCGCCUGGGGAGUACGGCCGCAGGGUUAAAACUCAAAUGAAUUGACGGGGGCCCGCACAAGCGGUGGAGCAUGUGGUUUAAUUCGAUGCAACGCGAAGAACCUUACCUGGUCUUGACAUCCACAGAACUUUCCAGAGAUGGAUUGGUGCCUUCGGGAACUGUGAGACAGGUGCUGCAUGGCUGUCGUCAGCUCGUGUUGUGAAAUGUUGGGUUAAGUCCCGCAACGAGCGCAACCCUUAUCCUUUGUUGCCAGCGGUCCGGCCGGGAACUCAAAGGAGACUGCCAGUGAUAAACUGGAGGAAGGUGGGGAUGACGUCAAGUCAUCAUGGCCCUUACGACCAGGGCUACACACGUGCUACAAUGGCAUAUACAAAGAGAAGCGACCUCGCGAGAGCAAGCGGACCUCAUAAAGUAUGUCGUAGUCCGGAUUGGAGUCUGCAACUCGACUCCAUGAAGUCGGAAUCGCUAGUAAUCGUAGAUCAGAAUGCUACGGUGAAUACGUUCCCGGGCCU
rnacentral:rRNA from 1 species